rnacentral:rRNA from 1 species
CAGGCCUAACACAUGCAAGUCGAACGGGUCGCAAGACCAGUGGCAAACGGGUGCGUAACGCGUAAGCAACCUGCCUCAAACUGGGGGAUAGCCCGGCGAAAGCUGGGGUAAACCCGCACGGUCCCAAGCGAUCACCUGGUUUUUUGGGUAAACAUUGAUGGGUUUGAGAGGGGCUUGCGUCUGAUUAGCUAGUUGGCAGGGUAACGGCCUACCAAGGCGAUGAUCAGUAGGGGUUCUGAGAGGAUUGGCCCCCACAUGGGUACUGAGAUACGGACCCAACUCCUACGGGAGGCAGCAGUAGGGAAUAUUGGGCAAUGGGCGCAAGCCUGACCCAGCCAUGCCGCGUGAAGGAUGAAGGCGCUCAGCGUUGUAAACUUCUUUUACUCAUGAAGAACUAUGGUCCUGCGGGAUCGUGUGACGGUACCAGUGGAAUAAGCACCGGCUAACUCCGUGCCAGCAGCCGCGGUAA